rnacentral:rRNA from 1 species
UACGGGGGGAGCAAGCGUUGUUCGGAUUUACUGGGCGUAAAGGGCGCGUAGGCGGUCAGCACAAGUCAGUUGUGAAAACUCGAGGCUUAACCUCGAGCUGUCGGCGGAAACCAUCUGGCUAGAGUCCGGAAGAGGAGAAUGGAAUUCCCGGUGUAGCGGUGAAAUGCGCAGAUAUCGGGAAGAACACCCGUGGCGAAGGCGAUUCUCUGGGACGGUACUGACGCUGAGACGCGAAAGCGUGGGGAGCGAACAGG